rnacentral:misc_RNA from 1 species
GAAAUGCGAUAAGUAGUGUGAAUUGCAGAAUUCAGUGAAUCAUCGAAUCUUUGAACGCACAUUGCGCCCUUUGGUAUUCCUUAGGGCAUGCCUGUUCGAGCGUCAUCUAAACCCUCAAGCCCUGCUUGGUGUUGGGUGCCUGUCCCGCCCCCGUGCGUGGACUCACCUCAAAUCCAUUGGCGGCCCUCGUGUCGGCCCCGAGCGCAGCAGAAACGCGGUCUCGUGGCCCGGCGGAGCGUGCCCCCAGAAGCAACAUUCACCGUUUUGACCUCGGAUCAGGUAGGGAUACCCGCUGAACUUAAGC